GGGAAUGUAAGUGUGCUGGCUGGAAAACACACGGCAGAGAGAGAGAGGAGCCGAGAGAAAGAGAGUGAGAGAGAGGAAUCCAACUUUUAUGCUGGAAGGAACUUUGGGGAAGUGAAUUAAUGAGAUCUAAGUGAAGAUAAAAGGAGAGGACUCAAAGAACUAAAAAGAAAUUCAGCCAUGGGAAGUUAAGGUCACGCGCCAUUGUCUGCCUGAUUUAUCUGAUAUGUCCAGUCUGUCUGAUUUGCUUCUGCAGCCAUCUGUAAGUAAUAACUCUGUAAAGUUAUGUUUAACUUUAAUUAUUUUCCAGUGACAUGAGAUGAUAAGUUCUGAAAUGUUAUGUUUGAAUGAAUGAAUGAUAGUCUAAUUUUCCUUGGAAUGUAAACGCGGUAUCCCUAACCGAGGCCCUCGCCCAGGGGACACAAUACUGAGGCACAUGGUCAUGAGGCCCUCGCCCAGGAGAAAGAAUACCGUGGCACAGGCCCUUGCUCGGGGAAAAGAAUACCGUGGCACAGGCCCUCGCCCGGGGGAAACAAUACUGUGGCAUAAAUAUGUUAUCCGGUACUGGAGGUUCCAUUAUGGGACUUACUAUACUUGACCAACAUGAUAUGUUAUGCUAAGGGAAGUGUACCACACAUGAUUUGAAUAUGGAUAUGGCUGUAGUUCUUUUCUGAUACGAAUAUGAAUAUGAAUAUGCUUACGUUUCCGAUCUGAUAAGAGAUUGAUUUUCUGAUUUCUGCAUUCAAUAUGGUCAUCAUUCAUUAAACCCCUUUACGCUGUUAUUAUUCACUGGGCUUUAGCUCACAGUAUUAUUUAUGUAUGUAGGUGAUCAGGCGCGUGACCAGGCUUAGAGGCUUCUGCCUAGAAUCUGUUUUGUCAGCCAACCUAUGUGCCUCCCGUGGAGGUUCCGGAUAUGUCAAGUGACCAUUGCUAUGUGACUUAAAGUUUAAGUUUUAUUUUCGUGUAUUUUGUGAAUAGGGUUAAGUCCCUUUUGUCUAAUCUGUGUGUAUAUGACGACUGAAAGAUAAUGUCUACAUAUGUAUAUAAAACGUUUAAAAUUUCUCUGUCU